CCAGCAACAAAAGAGCGACAGGAAGAAACGGGUCCUGAAGUGGCAGGGUAAAAAAAUUAUCUUAAUUGAGCCUCCUCAGGAGCAAGCCAGAAAACAGAGAACUGUGAAGACAGGCAGAUGUUUGAAUCCUUCCAUCCUACCACAGAGGAAUGUCUGUUCACUUAACAUCUUUUGUUUUUCUUCUUGAAAGACAUAAAGUAUAAAAACAACCG
rnacentral:lncRNA from 1 species